rnacentral:rRNA from 1 species
GACGAACGCUGGCGGCGUGCCUAACACAUGCAAGUGGAGCGACGAACCAGGCUUCGGCCUGGGGCAAAGCCGCGAACGGGUGAGUAACACGUGGGUAACCUGCCCUGAUGAUCGGGACAACCCGGGGAAACUCGGGCUAAUACCGAAUGUGCCCUCCGGCCUCAAGGCCGCUGGGGAAAGGAAGCUUCGGCCUCCGCAUCGGGAUGGGCCCGCGGCCCAUUAGCUUGUUGGUGAGGUAACGGCUCACCAAGGCGACGAUGGGUAGCUGGUCUGAGAGGACGAUCAGCCACACUGGGACUGAGACACGGCCCAGACUCCUACGGGAGGCAGCAGUGGGGAAUCUUGCGCAAUGCGCGAAAGCGUGACGCAGCAACGCCGCGUGGGGGAAGAAGGCCU